rnacentral:rRNA from 1 species
GACGAACGCUGGCGGCGUGCUUAACACAUGCAAGUCGAACGGAAAGGCCCUUCGGGGUACUCGAGUGGCGAACGGGUGAGUAACACGUGGGUGAUCUGCCCUGCACUUUGGGAUAAGCCUGGGAAACUGGGUCUAAUACCGGAUAGGACCACGGCAUUCAUGUGCUGUGGUGGAAAGCUUUUGCGGUGUGGGAUGGGCCCGCGGCCUAUCAGCUUGUUGGUGGGGUAAUGGCCUACCAAGGCGACGACGGGUAGCCGGCCUGAGAGGGUGACCGGCCACACUGGGACUGAGAUACGGCCCAGACUCCUACGGGAGGCAACAGUGGGGAAUAUUGCACAAUGGGCGCAAGCCUGAUGCAGCGACGCCGCGUGAGGGAUGACGGCCUUCGGGUUGUAAACCUCUUUCGCCAGGGACGAAGCGCAAGUGACGGUACCUGGAGAAGAAGGACCGGCCAACUACGU